rnacentral:misc_RNA from 1 species
AAGACUAUAGACCUGCGGAGUACCUGCGGAAGGAUCAUUACCGAGUUAUCCAACUCCCAACCCCUGUGAAUUAUACCUUUAAUUGUUGCUUCGGCGGGACUUCGCGCCCGCCGGGGACCCAAACCUUCUGAAUUUUUAAUAAGUAUCUUCUGAGUGGUUAAAAAAAAAUGAAUCAAAACUUUCAACAAUGGAUCUCU